rnacentral:rRNA from 1 species
UACGGAGGGUGCAAGCGUUAUCCGGAUUCACUGGGUUUAAAGGGUGCGUAGGCGGGCCGGUAAGUCCGUGGUGAAAUCUCUGAGCUUAACUCAGAAACUGCCGUUGAUACUAUCUGUCUUGAAUAUUGUGGAGGUGAGCGGAAUAUGUCAUGUAGCGGUGAAAUGCUUAGAUAUGACAUAGAACACCAAUUGCGAAGGCAGCUCACUACUCAAUCAUUGACUCUGAGGCACGAAAGCGUGGGGAUCAAACAGG